UUAAACUAAGAGAGUAAGGGUAGAGCUUUAUUUUCAAUAAUAGAUAGAAGACGAGAUUAUAAAUUUAUUAUAAAAAAAAUUAGGCUUUUUAGUGGCCAUAUUUUUAAAGUAUUUUAACUAUUAAAAUAAUAAAAAAUUUGUUUUAUUUCUCUUAAAUAUUUAGUAAAAUAUUUUUUAUAUUAAAAUAAAAUUAGUAAUAAUGAAAAUAUUAGUAGAUUAAGAUUAUUAAAAUUCUAAGAUUAAAUUAAAAAUAUAUUUUAAUUAAAUUGAUAGGAAAAUUAAAGGAAUUCGGCAAAUUUUUUUCUUGCCUGUUUAACAAAAACAUGUCUGUAUGAAGUUAUAUAGAGUCUGGCCUGCCCAUUGAAAAAAUUUUGAAAGGCCGCGGUAUAUUAACUGUGCAAAGGUAGCAUAAUCAUUAGUUUUUUAAUUGGAAACUUGUAUGAAGGGUCUGACAAAGAAAAAGCUGUCUUUAAUUUUAUUUUUGAAUUUAACUUUUAAGUGAAAAGGCUUAAGUAAAUUUAAGGGACGAUAAGACCCUAUAAAUCUUUAUAUUAUAUUAUUAUCUUAAAAUUUAAUUUAGUUUGUUUAUAUUUUAUAAGAAAAUAAUAAAUAUUUUGUUGGGGUGACAAGAAUAUAAAAUAAACUGUUCUUUAUAAAAACAAAUUUGUUUGUUAAAUAAAAUAAUAGAUCCUUUUUAAAGAUUAAAAGUUUAAGUUACUUUAGGGAUAACAGCGUUAUUUUUUUUGAGAGUUCUUAUCGAAAAAAAAGUUUGCGACCUCGAUGUUGAAUUAAAAUUUCUUUACGGUGUAGAAGUUGUGGAAGAGAGUCUGUUCGACUUUUAAAAUUUU
rnacentral:rRNA from 1 species